rnacentral:rRNA from 1 species
AAGGAAUAUUGGACAAUGCCCGCAAGGGUGAUCCAGCCAUGCCGCGUGCAGGAAGAAGGCCCUAUGGGUCGUAAACUGCUUUUACACCGGAGAAAACCUCCCCUCGUGAGGGGAGCUGAUAGUAUGGUGAGAAUAAGCAUCGGCUAACUUCGUGCCAGCAGCCGCGGUAAGACGAAGGAUGCAAGCGUUAUCCGGAUUCAUUGGGUUUAAAGGGAGCGUAGGCGGUCUUAUAAGUCAGUGGUGAAAGCCUAGAGCUUAACUCUAGAAUUGCCAUUGAUACUGUAGGACUUGAGUAUAGUUGCUGUGGGCGGAAUAUGACAUGUAGUGGUGAAAUACUUAGAGAUGUCAUAGAACACCGAUUGCGAAGGCAGCUCACAAAACUAUAACUGACGCUGAGGCUCGAAAGUGCGGGGAUCAAAC